CAUUGGGCCCUGUGCAUCAGGGUGCUGUAAACUCCGUCAGGUCCGGAAGGAAGCAGCGGUAAGCAGUUAUUCUGGGUGCCGCAGGAUUACCUGCAAGGG
rnacentral:SRP_RNA from 1 species